AAUGAACGCUGGCGGCAGGCCUAACACAUGCAAGUCGAACGGAUCCUUCGGGAUUAGUGGCGGACGGGUGAGUAACGCGUGGGAACAUACCCUUUGGUACGGAAUAGCCUCGGGAAACUGGGAGUAAUACCGUAUGUGCUCUUCGGAGGAAAGAUUUAUCGCCAAAGGAUUGGCCCCGCGUUGGAUUAGGUAGUUGGUGGGGUAAUGGCCUACCAAGCCGACGAUCCAUAGCUGGUUUGAGAGGAUGAUCAGCCACACUGGGACUGAGACACGGCCCAGACUCCUACGGGAGGCAGCAGUGGGGAAUCUUAGACAAUGGGGGAAACCCUGAUCUAGCCAUGCCGCGUGAUCGAUGAAGGCCUUAGGGUUGUAAAGAUCUUUCGCCGGUGAAGAUAAUG
rnacentral:rRNA from 1 species